rnacentral:rRNA from 11 species
GUCUAUGCGUAUAAGUAUGUGAAAGGUACCAGAUCCUGUCUGAUACUGGAAACUAAAUAGGGAUCAGUUCUGGCUAGUACUCGGAUGGGAGACCCCCGAUGAAUCCCAGGUGCUGUAGGCU